CCGGCUUACCAACCCGAUGCAAACUGCGAAUACCGGAGAAUGUUAUCACGGGAGACACACGGCGGGUGCUAACGUCCGUCGUGAAGAGGGAAACAACCCAGACCGCCAGCUAAGGUCCCAAAGUCAUGGUUAAGUGGGAAACGAUGUGGGAAGGCCCAGACAGCCAGGAUGUUGGCUUAGAAGCAGCCAUCAUUUAAAGAAAGCGUAAUAGCUCACUGGUCGAGUCGGCCUGCGCGGAAGAUGUAACGGGGCUAAACCAUGCACCGAAGCUGCGGCAGCGACACUGUGUGUUGUUGGGUAGGGGAGCGUUCUGUAAGCCUGUGAAGGUGUGUCGUGAGGCAUGCUGGAGGUAUCAGAAGUGCGAAUGCUGACAUAAGUAACGAUAAAGCGGGUGAAAAGCCCGCUCGCCGGAAGACCAAGGGUUCCUGUCCAACGUUAAUCGGGGCAGGGUGAGUCGACCCCUAAGGCGAGGCCGAAAGGCGUAGUCGAUGGGAAACGGGUUAAUAUUCCCGUACUUGGUGUUACUGCGAAGGGGGGACGGAGAAGGCUAUGUUGGCCGGGCGACGGUUGUCCCGGUUUAAGCGUGUAGGUGUGUGUUCCAGGUAAAUCCGGUUCACUUUAACACUGAGGCGUGACGACGAGGCACUACGGUGCUGAAGCAACAAAUGCCCUGCUUCCAGGAAAAGCCUCUAAGCAUCAGGUAACAUCAAAUCGUACCCCAAACCGACACAGGUGGUCAGGUAGAGAAUACCAAGGCGCUUGAGAGAACUCGGGUGAAGGAACUAGGCAAAAUGGUGCCGUAACUUCGGGAGAAGGCACGCUGACACGUAGGUGAAGUGAUUUACUCAUGGAGCUGAAGUCAGUCGAAGAUACCAGCUGGCUGCAACUGUUUAUUAAAAACACAGCACUGUGCAAACACGAAAGUGGACGUAUACGGUGUGACGCCUGCCCGGUGCCGGAAGGUUAAUUGAUGGGGUCAGCGCAAGCGAAGCUCCUGAUCGAAGCCCCGGUAAACGGCGGCCGUAACUAUAACGGUCCUAAGGUAGCGAAAUUCCUUGUCGGGUAAGUUCCGACCUGCACGAAUGGCGUAAUGAUGGCCAGGCUGUCUCCACCCGAGACUCAGUGAAAUUGAACUCGCUGUGAAGAUGCAGUGUACCCGCGGCAAGACGGAAAGACCCCGUGAACCUUUACUAUAGCUUGACACUGAACAUUGAGCCUUGAUGUGUAGGAUAGGUGGGAGGCUUUGAAGUGUGGACGCCAGUCUGCAUGGAGCCGACCUUGAAAUACCACCCUUUAAUGUUUGAUGUUCUAACGUGGACCCGUUACCCGGGUUGCGGACAGUGUCUGGUGGGUAGUUUGACUGGGGCGGUCUCCUCCUAAAGAGUAACGGAGGAGCACGAAGGUUGGCUAAUCCUGGUCGGACAUCAGGAGGUUAGUGCAAUGGCAUAAGCCAGCUUGACUGCGAGCGUGACGGCGCGAGCAGGUGCGAAAGCAGGUCAUAGUGAUCCGGUGGUUCUGAAUGGAAGGGCCAUCGCUCAACGGAUAAAAGGUACUCCGGGGAUAACAGGCUGAUACCGCCCAAGAGUUCAUAUCGACGGCGGUGUUUGGCACCUCGAUGUCGGCUCAUCACAUCCUGGGGCUGAAGUAGGUCCCAAGGGUAUGGCUGUUCGCCAUUUAAAGUGGUACGCGAGCUGGGUUUAGAACGUCGUGAGACAGUUCGGUCCCUAUCUGCCGUGGGCGCUGGAGAACUGAGGGGGGCUGCUCCUAGUACGAGAGGACCGGAGUGGACGCAUCACUGGUGUUCGGGUUGUCAUGCCAAUGGCACUGCCCGGUAGCUAAAUGCGGAAGAGAUAAGUGCUGAAAGCAUCUAAGCACGAAACUUGCCCCGAGAUGAGUUCUCCCUGAGACUUAG
rnacentral:rRNA from 1 species